CCUACGGGUGGCAGCAGUGGGGAAUAUUGGACAAUGGGCGAAAGCCUGAUCCAGCCAUGCCGCGUGUGUGAAGAAGACCUUCGGGUUGUAAAGCACUUUCAGUGGGGAAGAAAGCCUUGGGGCUAAUACCCUCGAGGAAGGACAUCACCCACAGAAGAAGCACCGGCUAACUCCGUGCCAGCAGCCGCGGUAAUACGGAGGGUGCGAGCGUUAAUCGGAAUUACUGGGCGUAAAGCGCGCGUAGGCGGUCUGAUAAGCCGGUUGUGAAAGCCCCGGGCUCAACCUGGGAACGGCAUCCGGAACUGUCAGGCUAGAGUGCAGGAGAGGAAGGUAGAAUUCCCGGUGUAGCGGUGAAAUGCGUAGAGAUCGGGAGGAAUACCAGUGGCGAAGGCGGCCUUCUGGACUGACACUGACGCUGAGGUGCGAAAGCGUGGGUAGCAAACAGGAUUAGAUACCCGUGUAGUC
rnacentral:rRNA from 1 species